rnacentral:rRNA from 1 species
AGUGGGGAAUAUUGGACAAUGGGCGCAAGCCUGAUCCAGCCAUGCCGCGUGAGUGAUGAAGGCCUUCGGGUUGUAAAGCUCUUUCAGGUGGGACGAUGGUGACGGUACCACCAGAAGAAGCCCCGGCUAACUUCGUGCCAGCAGCCGCGGUAAUACGUAGGUGGCAAGCGUUGUCCGGAUUUACUAGGUGUAAAGGGCGUGUAGGCGGGACUGCAAGUCAGAUGUGAAAUUUGAAGGCUCAACCUUCAAACUGCAUUUGAAACUGCAGUUCUUGAGUGAUGGAGAGGCAGGCGGAAUUCCUAGUGUAGCGGUGAAAUGCGUAGAUAUUAGGAGGAACACCAGUGGCGAAGGCGGCCUGCUGGACAUUAACUGACGCUGAGGCGCGAAAGCGUGGGGAGCAAACAGGAUUAGAUACCCUGGUAGUCCACGCCGUAAACGAUGGAUACUAGGUGUGGGGGGUCUGACACCCUCCGUGCCGGAGUUAACACAAUAAGUAUCCCACCUGGGGAGUACGAUCGCAAGGUUG